UACAGAGGGUGCGAGCGUUAAUCGGAAUUACUGGGCGUAAAGCGUGCGUAGACGGUUACAUAAGUCGGGUGUGAAAGCCCCGGGCUCAACCUGGGAAUUGCAUUCGAGACUGCGUAGCUAGGGUGCGGAAGAGGGAAGCGGAAUUUCCGGUGUAGCGGUGAAAUGCGUAGAUAUCGGAAGGAACACCAGUGGCGAAAGCGGCCCUCUGGAUCGUUGCUGACGCUGAGACGCGAAAGCGUGGGGAGCAAACAGG
rnacentral:rRNA from 1 species